AGAGUUUGAUCCUGGCUCAGAACGAACGCUGGCGGUAUGCCUAAUACAUGCAAGUCGAACGCGAAAGGGGGCAACCCUGAGUAAAGUGGCGCACGGGUGAGUAACACGUAGGUGACCUGCCUUUUAAUGGGGGAUAACAGAGAGAAAUCUUUGCUAAUACCGCAUAAGCUUAACGAACGUGGAAGUAGUUAAGGAAAGUUGACCUCUAUUUAUAAGUUAACGUUGAAAGAAGGGCCUGCGGAACAUUAGCUAGUUGGUGGGGUAACGGCCUACCAAGGCAACGAUGUUUAACUGGUCUGAGAGGAUGAUCAGUCACACUGGAACUGAGACACGGUCCAGACUCCUACGGGAGGCAGCAGUAGGGAAUCUUGCGCAAUGGGGGCAACCCUGACGCAGCAAUACCGCGUGAGUGAGGAAGGUCUUCGGAUUGUAAAGCUCUGUCGUGAGGGAAAAAUGGUUAUCCGGGUAAUAUUCGGGUAAUUUGAUGGUACCUCAGAAGGAAGCACCGGCUAACUUCGUGCCAGCAGCCGCGGUAAUACGAAGGGUGCAAGCGUUGUUCGGAUUUAUUGGGCGUAAAGCGCGCGCAGGCGGGCCUGUAAGUCAGAUGUGAAAUCUCGGGGCUCAACCCCGAACGUGCGUCUGAAACUACAGGUCUAGAAUAUUGGAGGGGGCAGAGGAAUUUCACAUGUAGGGGUAAAAUCCGUAGAGAUGUGAAGGAACACCAGAGGCGAAGGCGUCUGCCUGGCCAACCAUUGACGCUGAGGCGCGAAAGCGUGGGGAGCAAACAGGAUUAGAUACCCUGGUAGUCCACGCCGUAAACGAUGAGAACUAGUUAUUGGAGGUAUUGACUCCUUCGGUAACGCAGCUAACGCAUUAAGUUCUCCGCCUGGGGAGUACGGUCGCAAGACUAAAACUCAAAGGAAUUGACGG
rnacentral:rRNA from 1 species